CAAUGGGCGAAAGCCUGAAGCAGCAACGCCGCGUGCGCGAUGAAGGCCUUUCGGGUCGUAAAGCGCUUUUUGAGAGGGACGAGAUAGGACGGUACCUCUGGAAUAAGUCACGGCUAACUACGUGCCAGCAGCCGCGGUAAAACGUAGGUGGCAAGCGUUAUCCGGAUUCACUGGGCGUAAAGCGCGUGCAGGUGGCUUCGUAAGUUGGACGUUAAAUCUCCCGGCCUAACCGGGAGGAGUCGUUCAAUACUGCGGGGCUGGAGGGCAGAAGAGGGGGGUGGAAUUGCUGGUGUAGUGGUGAAAUGCGUAGAUAUCAGCAGGAACACCUGUGGCGAAAGCGGCCCCCUGGUCUGCUCCUGACACUCAGACGCGAAAGCUAGGGGAGUGAACGGGAUUAGAAACCCCGGUAAUCCUAGCCGUAAACGAUGGAUGCUAGGUGUGGGUGGUAUUGACCCCAUCCGUGCCGAAGCCAACGCGUUAAGCAUCCCGCCUGGGGACUACGGCCGCAAGGUUA
rnacentral:rRNA from 1 species